GAUGAACGCUGGCGGCGUGCCUAAUACAUGCCAGUAGAACGCUGAAGGAGGAGCUUGCUCUUCGGGAUGAAUUGCGAACGGGUGAGUAACGCGGAGGUAACCUGCCUGGUAGCGGGGGAUAACUAUUGGAAACGAUAGCUAAUAACGCAUGACAACAGUUAUUGCAUGAUAACUGUUUAAAAGGGGCAACUGCUCCACUACCAGAUGGACCUGCGUUGUAUUAGCUAGUUGGUGAGGUAACGGCUCACCAAGGCGACGAUACAUAGCCGACCUGAGAGGGUGAUCGGCCACACUGGGACUGAGACACGGCCCAGACUCCUACGGGAGGCAGCAGUAGGGAGUCUUCGGCAAUGGACGGAAGUCUGACCGAGCAACGACGCGUGAGUGAAGAAGGUUUUCGGAUCGUAAAGCUCUGUUGUAAGAGAAGAACGAGUGUGAGAGUGGAAAGUUCACACUGUGACGGUAUCUUACCAGAAAGGGACGGCUAACUACGUG
rnacentral:rRNA from 1 species